rnacentral:rRNA from 1 species
GACGUAGGGCGCGAGCGUUGUCCGGAUUUAUUGGGCGUAAAGGGCUCGUAGGCGGUCUGUCACGUCGGGAGUGAAAACACGGGGCUUAACCCCGUGCCUGCUUCCGAUACGGGCAGACUAGAGGUAUGCAGGGGAGAACGGAAUUCCUGGUGUAGCGGUGAAAUGCGUAGAUAUCAAGAGGAACACCAGUGGCGAAGGCGAGUCCCUGGACGGUACCUGACACUGAGGCACGAAAGCUAGGGGAGCAAACAGG